GCGGGAGUAACUCAGUGGCUAGAGUGCCUGCCUUCCAAGCAGGGUGUCGAGGGUUCGAAUCCCUUCUCCCGCUCCA
rnacentral:tRNA from 1 species